UGGGGUAUCGCCAAGCGGUAAGGCACCGGUUUUUAAUACCGGCAUUCCCUGGUUCGAAUCCAGGUACCCCAGCCA
rnacentral:tRNA from 1 species